rnacentral:rRNA from 2 species
GGGCGACUGAACUGGGAAGAGCCCAGCGCAUAACCUGGCGUCGUGACCCGGCGCCAGGGGUGUUGCGUUUCGGAGGGUCCGGCACGCAGUCUCUCACCGCCUAAGUUAUGCUUGAAAGCGGCCACUACCCAUGGAGGGUGACAGGCCCGUGUGGCGGCGCCCGCGAGGGUACACGAGAGAUUGUCGGAAAGGGCCUCUCCGUAGAGUCGGGUUGCUUGAAAAUGCAGCCCUAAGCAGGUGGUAAACUCCAUCUAAGGCUAAAUAUGACCACGAGACCGAUAGCGAACAAGUACCGUGAGG